rnacentral:pre_miRNA from 1 species
GGAGAGAGGCUGGAUCCUGGGCUGUGUCCCGGCGCCCUGUGCUCUGGGCCUGCGCUGUUGGAUUCGCGCUUCCGCCCCCGGAGCCCCCC